GAUGAACGCUGGCGGCGUGCUUAACACAUGCAAGUCGAACGAUGAACCGGGUGCUUGCACUCGGGGAUUAGUGGCGAACGGGUGAGUAACACGUGAGCAACCUGCCCCUGACUCUGGGAUAAGCGCUGGAAACGGCGUCUAAUACUGGAUAUGUCCCGUCACCGCAUGGUGUGCGGGUGGAAAGAUUUUUCGGUUGGGGAUGGGCUCGCGGCCUAUCAGCUUGUUGGUGAGGUAAUGGCUCACCAAGGCGGGGACGGGUAGCCGGCCUGAGAGUGUGACGGGCCACACUGGGACUGAGACACGGCCCAGACUCCUACGGGAGGCAGCAGUGGGGAAUAUUGCACAAUGGGCGGAAGCCUGAUGCAGCAACGCCGCGUGAGGGAUGACGGCCUUCGGGUUGUAAACCUCUUUUAGCAGGGAAGAAGCGAGAGUGACGGUACCUGCAGAAAAAGCACCGGCUAACUACGUGCCAGCAGCCGCCGUAA
rnacentral:rRNA from 1 species